UACAGAGGUCCCAAGCGUUGUUCGGAUUUACUGGGCGUAAAGGGUGCGUAGGCGGUUGGGUAAGUCUGUCGUGAAAUCUCCGAGCCCAACUCGGAAACUGCGUCGGAUACUAUUCAACUCGAGGAAUGGAGGGGAGACUGGAAUUCUCGGUGUAGCAGUGAAAUGCGUAGAUAUCGAGAGGAACACCAGUGGCGAAGGCGAGUCUCUGGACAUUUCCUGACGCUGAGGCACGAAAGCCAGGGGAGCAAACGGG
rnacentral:rRNA from 1 species